UUUCGACAGGGGCAUACUCGGAGAAAUCCGACGACGCAAAGCCAUGGGUCCUCGGUUCCGCAAAGUGCGGUUCACGGAUUGCCAGGUUGCCGAA
rnacentral:ncRNA from 1 species